UACGUAGGGGGCGAGCGUUGUCCGGAGUUACUGGGCGUAAAGGGCAUGCAGGCGGUCGGACGCGUUUCGGGUGACAGCGGGUGGCUUAACUACCCGAGUGGUCGAAAGACGGUUUGACUUGAGGACGCGAGAGGGACACGGAAUUCCGGGUGGAGUGGUGAAAUGCGUAGAGAUCCGGAGGAACACCGAAGGCGAAGGCAGUGGCCUGGCGCGUAACUGACGCUGAGGUGCGAAAGCCAGGGGAGCGAACGGG
rnacentral:rRNA from 1 species